rnacentral:rRNA from 1 species
UACGUAGGGUGCGAGCGUUAAUCGGAAUUACUGGGCGUAAAGCGCACGCAGGCGGUUCGCCAAGUUUGGAGUGACAGUUGUCGGCUCAACCGACAAAGGACUUCAAAAACUGGUGAACUUGAGGACGAGAGAGGAACAUGGAACUCCAGGUGUAGUAGUGAAAUGCGUAGAUAUCUGGAAGAACACCAAUGGCGAAGGCAAUGUUCUGGCUCGUUUCUGACGCUCAGGUGCGAAAGCCAGGGGAGCGAACGGG